UUUUAGCCCCGAUAGAAGUGAAAAUCCUUUUUAAGGUUUUUACCGAAAAAAGAUUGUAGCGGAUAGCGGGAAAUAGC
rnacentral:sRNA from 1 species